rnacentral:tmRNA from 1 species
GGGGCCGACAUGGUUUCGACGCCGGUAUUGAAUCUUGUGGUGCAUGCCGAGCAGGCUACGAUGCUCGUAAAUCCAUUGUGGCAAAAAAGUAAUCGCAAACGACGAUUCCUACGCACUAGCAGCCUAAAUCCCUGCUAACCGUCGCGCGACCCUGUCUGUGGGGGAGCAACACGGGCACGCAUACACAGACUCGCGAUGACGUUCGCCCCGGACUGAAUUGCUAAAACUUUAGGGGAUCGGAACCAGCACCCUGCCCGUCGGGCCGCUGGAACCUAAAUUAGUAGACACGGCUAAGCAUGUAGAUCUGCAAGUGGAUUGCUGACGGACGCGGGUUCGAUCCCCGCCGGCUCCACCA